rnacentral:rRNA from 1 species
AACGAACGCUGGCGGCAGGCUUAACACAUGCAAGUCGAACGCAUCCUUCGGGGUGAGUGGCAGACGGGUGAGUAACGCGUGGGAACGUGCCCUUCAGUUCGGGAUAACCCAGGGAAACUUGGGCUAAUACCGGAUACGUGCGAGAGCAGAAAGAUUUAUCGCUGAAGGAUCGGCCCGCGUCUGAUUAGCUAGUUGGUGGGGUAAUGGCCCACCAAGGCGACGAUCAGUAGCUGGUCUGAGAGGAUGAUCAGCCACAUUGGGACUGAGACACGGCCCAAACCCCUGCGGGAGGCAGCAGGGGGGAAUAUGGGACAAUGGGCGCAAGCCUGAUCCAGCCAUGCGGGGUGAGUGAGGAAGGCCUUAGGGUUGUAAAGCUCUUUCGUCCGGGACGAUAAUGACGGUACGGGAAGAAGAAGCCCCGGCUAACUUCGUGCCAGCCGCCGCGGUAA